rnacentral:rRNA from 1 species
AGAGUUUGAUCCUGGCUCAGGAUGAACGCUAGCGGCAGGCCUAACACAUGCAAGUCGAGGGGUAGAGGAAGCUUGCUUCCUUGAGACCGGCGCACGGGUGCGUAACGCGUAUGCAAUCUACCUUGUACAGAGGAAUAGCCCAGAGAAAUUUGGAUUAAUGCCUCAUAGUAUAUCGAGUUGGCAUCAACAUGAUAUUAAAGAUUUAUCGGUACAAGAUGAGCAUGCGUCCCAUUAGUUAGUUGGUAAGGUAACGGCUUACCAAGACGAUGAUGGGUAGGGGUCCUGAGAGGGAGAUCCCCCACACUGGUACUGAGACACGGACCAGACUCCUACGGGAGGCAGCAGUGAGGAAUAUUGGGCAAUGGAGGCAACUCUGACCCAGCCAUGCCGCGUGCAGGAAGACGGUCCUAUGGAUUGUAAACUGCUUUUAUACGGGAAGAAACACCACUACGUGUAGUGACUUGACGGUACCGUAAGAAUAAGGAUCGGCUAACUCCGUGCCAGCAGCCGCGGUAAUACGGAGGAUCCAAGCGUUAUCCGGAAUCAUUGGGUUUAAAGGGUCCGUAGGCGGCCUUAUAAGUCAGUGGUGAAAUCUCCUAGCUCAACUAGGAAACUGCCAUUGAUACUGUAGGGCUUGAAUUAUUGUGAAGUAACUAGAAUAUGUAGUGUAGCGGUGAAAUGCUUAGAUAUUACAUGGAAUACCAAUUGCGAAGGCAGGUUACUAACAAUAUAUUGACGCUGAUGGACGAAAGCGUGGGUAGCGAACAGGAUUAGAUACCCUGGUAGUCCACGCCGUAAACGAUGAUCACUCGCUGCAUGCGAUAUAAUGUAUGUGGCCAAGCGAAAGCGUUAAGUGAUCCACCUGGGGAGUACGAUCGCAAGGUUGAAACUCAAAGGAAUUGACGGGGGCCCGCACAAGCGGUGGAGCAUGUGGUUUAAUUCGAUGAUACGCGAGGAACCUUACCAAGGCUU